rnacentral:lncRNA from 1 species
AUCGAGAAAAGGAGUACGACCGUUAAUCCAAUAUAAAUUAAGGAUCACUCGAAGAGUGGUGGGUUUUUCGGUCAAUAGGUGGAGAAAUAAGACAAAGAAGGUGGCUACUUCAUCUAUUUAUUCGAAGACGUUUCGCUCUCUAAUCAAAGAGCAUCAUCAGUUCAUCUAAAAAGAAUAUUAUGAAAAACCGAACAUCCAUAGAGAAGUUAAUACAACAGUGUUACCUCAAAAAGACAUGUAGCAGUCAAAGGUAUAAAAUGUAAAAAAA